rnacentral:rRNA from 1 species
GACGAACGCUGGCGGCGUGCUUAACACAUGCAAGUAGAACGAAGUGGCGAACGGGCGCCUAAUACGUGGGUAACCUGCCCUCCCUUUUGGGAUAUGCCUUGGAAACGGGGUAUAAUACCGAAUUAAGGGGGGUGGGCCCGCGGCCUACCAGCUUGUUGGUGGGGUGGUGGCCUACCAAGGGGGUGACGGGUAGCCGGCCCGAGAGGGUGCCCGGCCACAUUGGGACUGAGAUACGGCCCAGAAUCCUACGGAAGGCAGCAGUUGGGGCUAAUGCACAAUGGGCGAAAGCCUGAUGCAGCGACGCCGCGUGGGGGAUGAAGGCUUUCGGGUUGUAGACCUCUGUCGCUAUCGAACGGGUAGGUUGAGAAGAAGCGCCGGCUAACUACGUGCCAGCAGCCGCGGUAAUUC